GUACUACUGAAGAGUCCCAACCUGGAACGAAACAACUGUCUAGUAC
rfam:Trichobilharzia regenti genome assembly, scaffold: TRE_scaffold0103459